AGUUAUACUUGAGUUCAAUCUGAAGCAAGAUAAAGAAGAAAAUUAAACUGAUUGGUUAUCCAUGCAAGAUAUUCAAGAAAACAGCACUUAUCAAGGAUAUGUUCACUUCAGAUCUUGAAGUAGCUCAAUGUGAGGGUAAAGAGGUUCGGACAGUCAGUGGAAUCUGUGGACAGGUGAAAAAGGCUGCAAAAGAAGAGAUUGGUAACGAACCCAAAAAGAAGGGAGGACAAACUAGAGAAGGGAUUGAUAGGUGCACCUUUGAGGACAGAAUUCUGAUGAGUGACAUUGUUUUCAUGCGUGGAUGGGCUGAUGUUGAAGUUCCUCAGUUUUUCAACCCAUUGACCACAGCCUUGCAACCUCGUGAUCGGACUUGGCAAGGAAUGAAAACUGUGGCUCAGUUGUGGAGAUAAAACAAUCUUUCUAUUCCUGUUAACAAGGAUUCACUCUACAAGCCAAUUGAAGGGAAACAAAAGAGGUUCAACCCAUUGGUGAUUCCAAAGUCGUUGCGGGCAGCUCUCCCAUUUGAAUCAAAGCCCAAGGAUAUACCUAGCUGGAAACGGCCACUUCUUGAAAACAGAAGAGCCGUAGUCAUGGAACCUCAUGAGAGAAAAGUUCAUACUCUUGUUCAGCAUCUUCAAUUAAUUAGAAAUGAGAAGGUAUGCAUAUCUAGACCAAUAUAUUAUAUUUACAUAUUUGAAGCCUAAUGCUCAUCAUGUCAACUAAUAUUUUCCCGU